rnacentral:rRNA from 1 species
UACGUAGGGUGCGAGCGUUGUCCGGAAUUAUUGGGCGUAAAGGGCUCGUAGGCGGUUUGUCGCGUCGGGAGUGAAAUCCACUGGCUUAACUGGUGGCUUGCUUUCGAUACGGGCAGACUGGAGGUAUGCAGGGGAGAACGGGAAUUCCCAGCGUAGCGGUGAAAUGCGUAGAUACUGGGAGGAACACCAGUGGCGAAGGCGGCUACCUGGACCGGUUCUGACGCUGAUGCGCGAAAGCGUGGGUAGCAAACAGG